UAGCACUGGCGCGCUCCACAUACGAAGUCCCACAAAUUAAUUUUUUGCUUGGAAACGGUUAAAUCAACACUCCCCAAAUUUUACACCCUUUGAAAGAGACCCCAGGGUGACGUACUGAUUUUUUUUGGGAUUUUUUCAGUCCCCCAAAAAUGUUCAUUUUAAUUGUAGAAUGUGAUGCCCCGGGAAAAAGGCUACAACCCCUGCUUUUUAUGCCUACCAAGUUCCUCAGGCAGCCUCACUAGCUACAGCUAAGCAGAGGCUGCACACUGCAUGGACUGCUGGUCUGGAAGGGAAUAGGGAGAGAAAAAGGGUUUAGGGGCUGAAAAUAGGUGGUGGGGGACAAAAGAUUUAGGCACUUAUUUUACUCCUGGAACCCCCAGCCUGGAAUGGGAGUCCCAAUCUUAGACGAGUGGGUGUAUUUUUGAUCUCAAAUUAAGACUUGGAAUGCCAAUUGAUAAGUGUGGAGAAUUGACUUCAGAGGACAAUUGGUGUUCAGUGAGUUCCUUUUGGGAUUAUCAGCCACCUUCACCUCUCCUCUGUUGCUCAAGAGGGUGAAGGAAAAAAGGCAGAGGUUUAUGGUUGUGAGCAGCAAGCCAGGUUCAGCGGGACAGGAGAGGCAGGUCACUGGAGUUCAUGAUGAGACUUGAGUCAAGAUUCAGACUUUCUGUAAGACAAAUAAAUGUGGAAAAAAAUAUAACACUAUAUAUAUAUGAUUUGAAAAUGUUCAUGAAACAUAAAUUUCUCCAAUUCUGAGAGGUACAUGGAAUUUAUUUUACAGUUAAAGGGGUCACUGGCUAGAAAAUGUUUGAGAACCACUAAACUUAGAAGACCACAGUCUGGGUGCAAGACUCACCAAAGUAUUUCAGUGGAUCAAAUCAAGAACUCAAAAAAAUACUGUAGCAAAACUGAUCAACGAGUAAAUGAGGGGGGGAAAUGGGCACAGACUUUCAUUGAUUUUCUUAUUUUUAGUUUAUUUUUUACCUCCAUGGUCUAAGAGAGGAGAUGAAAACAGAAAAGAGGAAUGAAAAGACAGUGAAGUAUGUGUUUAUUCUCUCAGCACAAAUUCAAAACUGAGGUCUCAUCUGUUUAGAGUCUGUAGCAUUAGUUAAAGUGCACCUAUUAUGCUUUUUCAGAUAUUACCUUUCAUGUAGUGUGUUAUAUAGCUGUUUGUAGGGCUGCAACUAACGAUUAUUUUGAUAAUCAAUUAAUCUGUUGAUUGUUUCUUCGAUGGAUUAAACUGCCACUUUUUAUUUUCUGUAUUUUUUCGGAAUUUUUUCACAUUCUGGCCAAUCUUGUCCUUCAAACAUUGUGCAAAUUAAAGGCUAUGAAAAAGGUA